rnacentral:tRNA from 2 species
GUCAGGAUGGCCGAGUGGUCUAAGGCGCCAGACUCAAGUUCUGGUCCUCGACGAGGGCGUGGGUUCAAAUCCCACUUCUGACA